rnacentral:rRNA from 1 species
GAUUAACGCUGGCGGCGUGCCUAACACAUGCAAGUCGAGCGGCAGCGAGUUUUACACUGAAUUCUGGGAGCUUCUAGUUGAAAGAGAAGAUUUAUUCAAGAAUUUUGUGUAAAAUGUCGGCGAGCGGCGGACGGCUGAGUAACGCGUGGGAACGUACCCCAAAGUGAGGGAUAACGCAUCGAAAGGUGUGCUAAUACCGCAUAUGGUCUUCGGAUUAAAGCCUUCGGGCGCUUUGGGAACGGCCUGCGUAAGAUUAGAUAGUUGGUGGGGUAAUGGCCUACCAAGUCGACGAUCUUUAACUGGUUUGAGAGGAUGAUCAGUCAGACUGGAACUGAGACACGGUCCAGACUCCUACGGGAGGCAGCAGUGAGGAAUCUUCCACAAUGGGCGAAAGCCUGAUGGAGCAACGCCGCGUGCAGGAUGAAGGCCUUCGGGUUGUAAACUGCUUUUAUAAGUGAGGAUUAUGACAGUAACUUAUGAAUAAGGAUCGGCUAACUACGUG